rnacentral:rRNA from 1 species
AACGAACGCUGGCGGCGUGCCUAACACAUGCAAGUCGCGCGCGAGGACGGCCUUCGUGUCGUUAGUAGAGCGGCGCACGGGUGAGUAACACGUGGGUAAUCUGCCCUCGGGACCGGGAUAACCCAGGGAAACUUGGGCUAAUACCGGAUAAGACCACGCAACGAGAGUUGUGUGGGAAAAGCGGAGGCCCUCUUCGGAGGCUUCGUACCCUUGGAUGAGCCCGCGUCCCAUCAGGUAGUUGGCGGGGGAAUGGCCCACCAAGCCAAAGACGGGUAGCUGGGCUGAGAGGAUGAUCAGCCACACUGGAACUGAGACACGGUCCAGACUUCUACGGGAGGCAGCAGUGGGGAAUCUUGCGCAAUGGGCGAAAGCCUGACGCAGCAACGCCGCGUGAGUGAUGAAGGUCUUCGGAUCGUAAAGCUCUGUCGGCAGGAAAGACGGAUUGCAUGGCUAACAUCCAUGCAGUCUGACGGUACCUGCAAAGGAAGCACCGGCUAACUCUGUGCCAGCCGCCGCAGUAA